CCCCCCCCAUGCAUGCUAUCCGCGUUGUCCAAAUACCUCCCAAACGUACCAUCGACGUAAAUAAACAGAUCAGAGACUAGACUCAAGCGCUGUCGACAUACGUACUACGUCACAAUAUAACCGCAUCACACAAGAUAACACGCAAUAUUUUUGCGCGGUAUGCAAAGAAAUGGAAAAAUCUCGAAAACAAAAAAUAGGACAAAUUGAUAUGCAUAUAUUUUUGUCAUAUGUUAAUAUCAUGUCAUUACAAUAUCACAAACAUCAUUAUGAAUAUAUGAAGGUUAUGGAAUGUUGAGUAUUUUGAUGGAAUCGAAAUUUGUGAAUGAUGAAAAGGCCGUUAAUUUUCGGGUAAAUUGAUAUUGCGCAGACUGGACGGUGGUGUAUUUACGUGGCUUUUUGCAUGGAAGUAUUAUACUGAUAUACGGAAACGUUUCGCACAGUUUUUUUUUUAAGAAAAUGCAAUAAGAACAUUCCGAAUCAUAUCAAACGAAAUUUUUUAUUAUACCAAACAAAUUUAGAUUAGGAAGUUUCCGUUAAUAGAGGUAAAUCUAUCAAACUAUUUUGUCAUUCGCGGAAAGAUUUUGUGCAAAAUGGUUGAGCGUGGGCAGCUUUCGUAUAAAUACGAAGCGAAUUUCGGAGCGUCAGGCGAUUGCAUGACUGUCGUGUGACCGCGUGUUUCGCCUGUCUUCUUUCUGUCUUGUUUGGCUAUAUUUUGAUAAGAUGAAUUUCGAUUUCUCUCAUUUGUAUCUCAAAUUUUCACCUAAAGUUACGUUGGUUAUCAUCUCUGCUGAUUUUGUAACGUAAGGUUAUUCCAUAUUCUGAAGUGUUGAACUGAAAGUAUUGAAUUCCGCAGCCCAUUUCGGGUCGUCUUUUCGUUCGAUUUUUCGUCUGUGAUGGACUGGAUCAGCUGAGAUCUGAGCAAUGUUUUUUGAGCAGUUGGAUGGGGGGGGGGGGGUUGAUUUAUUGGGGCAUAUGCCUGUGCCAUAUUACGAUUGAAUUCGAAAAUUAUAGGAUUUUGAUCAUGCAAAGUCAGUUUUAAAACUUGGGCAGGUCUAAUUAAUGGCAGUAAUUUAGGGAAGUGUGAGAAAUGGUAGAAAUUGCUGUUGAGAGUGGCGAAUGAGUCCGAUGUCGAUGACAAGAUGGAGUUGGAAUCUGAUUAGGACAUGAGAUGAUGUGGAUGGAUUGUGGUUGAACUGGAGACGGUGAAGACGAUUGGACUUAUGGAACUUUGGAAGGAAGUACCUGCAAAGACGUGUGAAGCAGUUCAAGCGGAUUAGCAUGGAGUACCUAGGCUUAUCCCAUUGAGUUAUGAGUUCAAGUAAAACAGGAGGGAGCCGCGAGAGAGACCAAGUCUGUAAACAGAAUGAGCAUCAGUCCAUCAUCCUUUAAUUCUUUCAAGGCUUAAUUCCAGCAAGGGUUUGAUAGUUACAAUAAGAGUAGGUCUACCUUGUCCAAAAUCCUGUAAUAUAGAUCCGUGAUAAUAUCCUCUGCGAUUAAUAAUUCUUUCACAGAAGUAUGUCAUUGUAUCUUGUAUGGAAGUAUAAUAAAUAAGCCUACUACAGGGUAUUGCCAUGUUUAGGCCCCCUUAUUUUAUACAAUCUGAAAAUUCCUGCAUUUUUUUGUCCUUGUGUAAAGUGUUUUGUGUCCCCAGCGUAUACUUUUUGUACCUUGAAACAUCUUGUUCUAUUUUAUUAUUUGAGAAAAUCUUGAUAAAAUUACUAAAACAGUGCUAUCAAAGUGUAGAAGUAUAAAAUUGUUAAGGCCUAAUCAUACUUCACUUUGUGAAGGGUCGCAUGCUUUGUUUUCUGUUUCGUUUUUUUGUGCACCAAUAGUGGAGCAUCUGAGCUUCCAAGUUUCUGCUUGGCUCCAAGAUUUAAGUCAUAACUACAAGCUAUUGGCUAUGUCCUGAAUUAAGACCAGAAACAAUACACACCUGGACCUGCAAGCUUUUUUGGAAUUCGUGAAGCAAGUACAAGGAGCUGAAAAAUCAGAAUGCAAUGCUUUUCUCUUUAGGAAUCUUUUGUGAUAUUAAAGGAAAUUUUCUUCUGGAUUUCGCGCUCCAACAUCUGGGCAUAGUGACAUGGUGGGGAAGUCGGUUUCUCUUUUUUCUCUUUAUUUACCUCCAGGAAAUUACAUGAUUGAUACAUAUUGGAAUUUUAUCAGGAACCAGUUUUCUUCUACUGCUUUCUUCGCAAGAAAUAUGUACAGGUUUUUGUUUUCUCUACCUUGUCCAUUACCAAUUGAAAAGUCUUGUGAAAAUUGAAAAAUUAUUCGCUAAAAUUCAGGAGAAACUCACAAAAUUUCUUCAGAGAAUCAACUUAUUCAACAAGGAAAUUCCUUUUGGAAUCUUCUUACAUCUCAAUUUAUCUUUUGUGGUACUGUUUUAUUGUGAAGAUUCUGCUCAAGGUGAAUGAAAUGCAGGGAAAAAAUGGAAUUUAAAUUUUUGUUUUGAACAAGGUGAAAAUCAGUGUUUUUUUAAAAAACUGAAAUACCUCUCAAACUCUGGGAUCAACAUGGGAUGGGGUUGUUUUCCUUUUCUUCCUUUUUGUUUUUUCCAUUUAGAAGUACCUCACAAGGAUCAAGUUUGCAUCAUAUUCUCAAGAUUUUGAGUCCUGUUGCAUAGAUGCCACAAUACUACUUAGGAGAGAGAACACAGAUACAUUCUGUAAGAAGUAAUGCAUUAUUUGAUCAGAAGCCCAGUUUGGUUGAAAGGAUAUGUGGAAAUAUUUGAUCUGAAAGCGAUUGUGAAUUAUUGACUUCAAAUAAAAAAUUUUUUAAAAAUCCUUUGAAGUGAAUUUUUUUAAAACAAAACCAUGAUAAGUAUUUUGCGUUAAACUACUGUUGGAAAAUGAUGACUGUGAAAUAUCUCUCAAGCUCAGGGAUCAAUGUGGGAUAGGGAUGUUCUUUUUCUUUUCUACAUUUCGUGUUUGCCAUCUAGAAGCACCUCACAAGGAGCAAGUUUGCAUCAUAUUCUCAAGAUUUCAAGUCGUGUUACAUAGAUGCCCCGUUGCUUAGAAGGAAGCACAGUUAAACGCUAGUAAGAAGUAAUGCAUGAUGUGUUUGUUCUGAAGCCAAAAUUUUGUCGACAGGAAAAUUUUGUUGAAAUUUUUGAUCUGAAAGCGAUUAUGAUUUUUUAUUUCAAAUCCUCAAGAUGUUUUUGAUGAGGGAAACUUAUGUUCAAACAAGAUUAUCAUGUUUGCGACCAACUUCUGUUUUGGAAAAUGACAACUAUGAAAUAUCUCUUAAGCUCUAGGAUCAAUGUGGGAUAGGGAUGUUCUUUUUUCCCCUUUUCCUGUUUGCCAUUUAGUAGCACCUCACAAGGAGCAAGUUUGUAUUCUCAAGAUUUCAAGUCCAGUUACUCAAGGUGCCCCGAUGCUUAGGAGAAAGCACAGUUCAAUGCUGUAAGAAGUAAUGCGUGAUGUGAUCAGGAGCCUAAAUUAGUUGGACAUUUUUCUUGAUGAAAUAUUUGAUCAAAACGUAGGUGUGAUUAAUUACAUGGACAAAAAUGCUUGUAAAGAAAAAAAAAUAUAAAUACUAAUGGAUGAUUUGAUCAGAAGCCCAGUUUGGUUGAAGGAAUAAGUGGAAUAUUUCAUCUGAAAGCAAUUGUGAUUUAGUGAUUUGAAAUACGUAAAUGCUUUUCUGAAGUGAAAGAAGAAAUUUAAGUGAAGCUUUGUUCAAACUAGAAGAAAAUCAUCAGUAUGUUUGUGAAACUUUGGAAAAUAGCAACUAGGAAAAUAUCUCUCAAGUGCAGGGAUCAAUGUGGGAUAGGGAUGUUCUUUUUUUUCUUUUCCUGUUUGCCAUGUAGAAGUAUCUCACAAGGAGCAGGUUUACUUCACUUUCUCAAGAUUUCAAGCCUGUUUGCAUGGAUGCCCAAUACUUAAGAGCUAGAAAGGAGCACAAAUAAAUGCCGUAAGGAGUAAUGUCGUGUUCAGAAACCCAGUGUGUUUGGAAGUAAAAUAUUUAUGUUGAAAUGUUGGUGACUAAUUCAUUUCAAUGAAAAAAAAAUCCUGUAUGUAUUGAAAAAAUGGAAUGGAAGUCCUCUUCGAAUUCAAAUUGAAAGCAAAUAAAAAUUGGAAGUGAAAUAUUGCUGAUUUCGUGUGCAAUGGAAAGAUCAAUUUAAAACUGCAAUAUUUGGAAUGCCCGAGAUAAAGGAAUCAGUGUUUUGUGGGUGGAUGGGGAUUUUUCUCUUUCCCUUUUCUUAUUUGCCAUCUAGAAGUAUGUUGCACCAAGCCAGUAGCGUCUAUUGUACAACCAUAUGUGCUAUGUCCUGCUCAAGUCUAGGUUCGAGACCAGAUGGAAAAUUCAUCUUAGGAUCUUUGUAGGAGCGUGUCCUCUUAAAUCUUUGCCAGUGGGAGCAUAAAUAAAGCAAUUGUUCAAGCCCCCCGGUACAGCCAUCAUCCUGUUAUGGAGUAGUGUUCCUUCUGUGACCUCUCUUCCUUUGGCCUUAUCAAGACCAGUGUCAUCUGUAAAAUAAGCAGUUUGCAAGGUAUCUAAUGUAAAUGUCCUGAAACCAGCAGUUUUAUUUUAAAAGAACCGACAAAAAUCACUAACACAUUUGUGAAUAUUUUGUAAAAAAAAAAGAAAAGCAAACAAGAUGAAACAAACAUAAUAUAAAUUGUAUAUUUUCUGUAAGUGUACUUCUGUAACUUGCAUUUUGGGGAUAUUUGACUGGGAGGGAAGUCUUUUUCCUUUUUCCCCUUUUGAUAGUUUUUAUCCAGGUUAUAUUGCUGUUCAAGCACCAAAGUGAUGCAGGUCUUUUGAGGAUCACACUUUUCAGCUUGCGAUCUGGAAUCUUCCCAUUGGAAGUAACAGAGAUGGAGUAGUUUGGUGGGCAGUAUUUUUAUUUAAUCCUUGAGCCUAGUUAUUAAAAUUUUAAACGAGCAUUAAUCAGUCUAUCCGUCUAUGUUGGAUCCAGUGUUAUGUUUUGCUUCUGAAAAAAAAAUCACUAAUAAUGGAUAAGAUAAAAAAAUGAUAUCCGAAUGUUCUCAUUUUCCCCCAAAUCGUUAAAGUAUAAUUGUUCAAAUUAAAAUUUUCCAGAUUAUAAAUUCAUGUAGUAAGCAUUUUUAUGGGUAGCGAGAUCCUGCCACGUGGCAGUCGACAUGUAUUUUUCCUAAGCCCUUUUCUAUUCAGCUUGAUCUGGAAUCAAAGAAUGCAAGUGACUUUCCUACCAACCAUCUACAGGCAUAUGGAAUAGAAUACCAAAUAAUAAAGCGGAGGUGAUGUACGUGAUGUGUUUUCAUCCUGUAUACAUGCAUGUUUUAUUGGGUUACGCAUCAAUUUUUCUUUUUGUGCUUUUUAAACAGAACUUUCCAAAGUCUGACUUCUUUUCCGAAAAUUUGAAUCUUCUGUGGCGCUUGCCCUUAGUUUGCAUUUGCAACUAGUUGAACUAGGUUUUUUUUUUCCAUGGAAAGAGGGAGGGGGGUAUUUAUCAUGAUCCUGCCUCUGGCAGUUUUUGCCUCUUCUACCUUUGUUUUGCAGGGACUUGAGAUUUAUUUUAAAGUGUGGAAUUUGUUCUUGAACAAGCUCCUUGGAUGAGUUGAACGUGAUAGUGCAUGGACUUUUCUCUUCCAAGUUUUCACUGGUAAUCGGUCUUCGUGAAUGGGAACAUUUGUUAGGUUACAUUUUAUUAGAAUUUAUGUGAAGAAUAUAACUUUAACUUGAUGAGAUUGUAGUGUAAACCUGAAUUGCAACUUUCUGUUCAUUACACAUGUGUACUACAAACUUGAAAUGGCAUUGGCAAAACCAGAGCAGUAAAUAUGAAUGUUAAUCAUAACCCUGCCUAUGGCAGUUGUGUUCUCCAGUCUUUUCCCCAAUUUCCUCCCGUUUAUCCACGAGUCAUGCAGGAAUUACCUGACAUCAUGAAAGCAAGGGAAAAAAAUCAAGAUUGUGUGUGGCAAAGCAAGUGUCUUCAUGUGUGUAUGGUUCGCAAUGGCAACUUAGAAGGUGAUAGCGACUGUUGGCCAUCAACUGGUGAAUUUCUAAAAAUGUAUUUUCAUAUGUAAUCGCUUAUCUUGUUAUCACAAGCAAGUCUUUGAAAAAGGAAUCUUAGUUGAAGAAAAAGGGAGUAUUUUUAGUUUCCAUGUAUUUGAAGAUAUGAGAAAAGUAAGCACUGUUAGUGCAAUAUAAACUUUUUCACAAAAGUGAGCAUUUUUUGUAGAUAUAUUUAUAUGUAGAAAACUGCAUAUUUUUCUGUCGAAAGGCAGCAUGUUUUCUCUCCUCUCAGUAUUCAUGCAGGAACAUAAACCAAGCAAGCAUGUUGCUACGCCACUUAUGUGCUUCAUUACCAACCAUUUCAAAGUCGGCAACCCAUGUACUCUUGCUUGACAUUAAUCGGCUGGCACUUUGCGAAACACCAUGUAGCGGUAUUGUUGCAACUGUUGUAAUGAUCAUAAUCCAAUUGUUUCUACAAAUCUUUCACAAUCAACAAAUUACUAAUUGUACUCAAAUGCCUGAUGCAGUGCGAGGAAUGAAAAAAAAAUUUAAUGUACCCAUCUACCUCAUAUAUGUUGUAAUGCAUUAAAUUAAUAACAUUGGUAAAUACAGUAGGACAUCCAUUUAUACAUCAAUUAUUUUUCCAUUCAAUUAAAAUUGAGGGGGUGGGGUGGGCAUGUUUAACAUUUAGCUUUGCUUUCCCCCAUUUUCGUCUGUUCUCAAUUAUGCGAUACAGGAUUUACCAAGUCCACUUCAUAAUCUCAAAGAGAAUUCAAGCUUCGCUUAGAUGACAGUGGUAACCAGCAACAAGUGUAACCAUUUCAUAUUUUCCCAUUCUAUAUCGAUUUUUUUUCCUGAAAAAGUACACCAAAAAAAAAUUACAAUAAACCUAACUCUUACAUGAUAUUGGAUUUCAUUUUUGAGCAGAAUCUUUUUUUCCAUGAGUGAAUAGAUUUUGAAUGUUCAUUGAUAUUGGUAAAAAUAUGGUUCUACAUGAUUUAAUAAAAGUUGAGAUUUGAAAAAAAAAAUUUCUCUUUAAUAUGAAUAUCAUUUGCUUCACAAUUUUUUGGAACUUUACAUGAACUUGAAUUAUGUUUUGUGGGACUUCGCAUGCAGCCAUUUUGGCUGUCAACAUGUGUUCUUGUUUUUCCUCUUCUGUCUUUUUCUCUGCGCACAUGCUUUAGUGUUCCUUUUGGGUAAAGGUGUAUAUUCCAUCACUCUUGUAUAGAACAAGUUCCGGCCCCAAGAAGGCAUCUUCCACCCAUGCCAUCAUCAUAGCACCCCAAGAAAGCUUCACCCAUCCAUGUGAAAGGUUUUGAUUAAAGUACUAUGGUAUAUUUUUUCUUUUCCAUGAAUGACCAACUUUUGUGCAUUAUCUCAUUGAUCCUUACUGUUAAAUGAAAAAAAAAAUCAAAAGCAGACAACCCACUUAGAAUUUGAAUGAAUAUCAGAAUAGUGCUGCUGGGUUUGGGCUGUGCAUUUCUUUUCAUGAAUCCAGCAUUAGCUUUGUUGAUCGCGUGAAAAAAUACAUUUGAACAUGUAUGUAGAAAAUAUCCACUUAUAAAUAUAAAUAUGUUUUUAAGAUUUUGUGGGGCAUAGGGUGGGCAAAGUGUUCUUUUUCUCUUUCUCUUUGCGUUCAGGUGCUUGUCCUGAUGCCAACUUUGUUUGCAACCCAUCAUUGUAAAGAACUGUUCUGCAGUGAAGUAACAUAUAAAGUGACUGUCGAAGGUGACGUCUUUUGGAACUUUGUGUUUAAUACAUUAAAAAGAAAAUUAUUUUUGCAUAAUGAAAGUAUAUGUAAUACUUAAGGGAAAAAAGAAAAAAUUGUCUUGCCAUUGGGCAUUCAUCACCAUGUACUUUGAGAUUCAUUUUUCUUUAACAUUCUGUAGCACAUUUUACAAAACGUUUGACCUAGAGUUCUAGACAUGAGCUUGUGAGGGAGGGAUGGGUUUUCCUUUUCUUUUCAUACACAUAGAUUUUCCAAGGAUGCAUCAUCUUGGCUAGUCGGACUAUUGUACUUGACUGUUUUUUGAGCUUUGGGAUGCUGAGACUGCGUUUGUGGCACCAUAACAAAUGUGAUGUAAUCAAUAUUUGUAGAGUUUCUUGGACUUGUAUGAGAUAAUUUGUAUCAAGGGAAUAUGCGAAUGGUCUUAUAGUUAAAGUGAAAUGAAGUUAAAAAUGGCAUGAAAAACAAAAUCACAUAGUAAGUUGAGUUGCGUAUUCUCAAAAUGAAAUUUGCAUAAGUGCUUCAUGAUGCUUCUGUAACAUUUCUGUUUUGAUAUAUAGAAUCGUCUACUCAAGACUAAAUGAUUCAGCAUUUACAGAAUGGGGAAAGUUGUUUGUGUUGAAAUUUAAUUCAUAACCUCUUAAUGUGCAUUCUGCUAUGUGCAAAUUACUGUGAAUUGUGAAGAUCCAUGCAUGAAAGUUAUUGCAUUUAGGGGUUUUUAUUAUUUUCCAAGUUAAUUUAAGAAAUAUACUUCAUGUAAUGCACCAUUUAACAAUCUUGGGGGUUGACCCCAUGUAGGGUUUAAUAUCUUUAUCUCAGUCUUUGUUUCUGCUAGAAAUAGAUGCCUUUAAACCUUUUGCACCCAUGCAAGUGUUCCACGAUUACCACCAAGCUACAUGUAUCUGCCAAUCAUCUUCAUUCUAUUCCCAUAUUGCCGUUUAUGAUAACCUGGUAUGGUAUUUUAAUCUGGUAAAUUAAUAUAAUUUAAAUCUACUUCUGUUUGCUUUCUGUGAUUAUAAAAUUAGUUUGAUCAUCAGUUUGUAAUCCUGAUUUGCUGUAUUAGUAACUGUUAUAGCGUAGUUAAAAUAUUACUUCAAACUAUAACCCAAAGCGAAUUCACUUUUUGAAGUUCAUGUGUACGACAUCUCAUUUUCAAUUGAUUUAACAUCUUUAUAUUCUUGUUUGGUUUAUGGCAUUUGCUGUUUGGUCAUGAAUUAUAUUUUACUAGUAGUUCAAUGUUUUGGGGCAGGGAUGUUUUUCUUUCCUUUUUUUUCUGACAUACUAGCAGGGUUGACCCAUCACAACUUAAGUCAUACAUCAUGCAACCUAUUCUACCAUCACGCUUGUUUGAUAUUCGUAAGACACCUCCAUUACUGCUUGUAUCUGACAAAGACAACGUCCUUCAUAUCAGUGGCGCACCGCGAGACACAUCUCACCUGAAAUGGUAUUUGUGGUCUUUAAUUCCAUUUUUUUCUUUUCAUAAUAUUUGAACAUUGUAUUUAUUUGUUGUGUUAAAUCUGCUGUUAUCUUUAUUAAUCAACUAAGCUAAACCAUUUUAGUAUAACAAAGCACUAUUUAAGUUUUGAGCACUGAGAGAAGAAAAAAUGCUCCUCUUUGAGGUUGAUCACAAGGUUACAAUCGGCCCAUGCGCUGGGGCUUAUUUUUUUUUAACUGUGGAAUGUGUAUCUCCCUUUUUUUCCCCCUCGAAUGUUUCUAUUUGCUAAGCAGCAUUUAAUGUUAUUGGAGAGAUUGUGCUGUCAAGGAGUGCUUCAUGAUGGAGAAUGGUGUUGACUGGUCUUGGUAUGCCUGAUUCAUGGAAUUUUCUGUAGAUGAAGAGCAAAGCCUGUCCUAAUCCUGAACAUGGUCUGCUUCACUCUGUCCUGCAACGCAAUGCACAGAAAUUGUAAGCUUUGUACCUGUCAAAGAAAAUUCACAAAGAAAGAAAUGUUACAAAUUGUGUGGUUUAAAUAUUAAUGUUCACACUGAAUAUUUACAUUUUUGAAAAUUUGUUAAAAUUUUUGGAAGACUGUUCUUUUGUGAGGUUUUUUUUUUGAAGUUAUUUGUCUGGCACAUAUGUAUAUUUCGAAGAAAAAAAAGGCUUUUUUCCCCUGUUCAGUAUUGUUUCUGUAUUAGAAUGUAUACUUUCUCUGGAGGGGAAAAGCUCUAUCAAUCUGAACCUGUAUCAGUUCCAGUGGUGCAUGAGAUUUCUCCAUGAUAUGACCGGUUGAUCUGUAAUUGGCUGUAAGCUGCUGUCCAUGUGCUGUAACAGGUUUUUCACAUAGUCUUUGAGUGAGGGAGGAAGCUAUCAAGCUACAGGUGAUGUAAGUUGAAGUGGUUUAAAGUAUCAAGAGUUGUAUGUGCAUGUUUUCUCUGUGCAUAGAAACCUUUUUUGCCCAUACAGUGCAAACAUAUCCAAGCAUUGGUUCACACCAACCCAAUGAUAGAGUGCUACACUGGUGUAAGAAGCCUGUUAAGGUGACGAGAGCUGACGGGGGAAGAGAGAGAAUUGCGUUGGCCAUGCCAGCUUGUUGAGCUGUAGAGGGAGAUGUCUGUGAAAGCAAGUGCCAAGAGGGACUACACUAGCUCUCCCUAGGGUUAUGUUCUCACCACUACCACCUAGCUGAGGGAGGGGAGCCCAGGGGUGUCCAAGGUCUAGGUUUCCACAGCCACUAGGGUCAACUCUCUAUGUGAGUCUGAGGGAACUAUUCCUGGGAAGGAGGGAACAUCCGGGGUCCAAGAGCUUCAUCAGUCUGGGACGGUGGGAGCUGAAGGGGUCUGGUGUCCAGGGAGUCUAGGCGGUUCUUGGUGGUGUCCAGGGUCUGGCGAUAGUUUCCAGGGUGUGACGGUGUCCUGGGAUCAUUGGCGGCAGUUUCCAGGGAGCAACAGCGGUGGUGUCCAGGGUCUAGUGGCGGUGUCUAGGGUCCAGUGGCAGCAGUUUCCAGGGAGCAGCGGUGGUGUCCAGGGAGCAGUGGCGGUGUCCAGGGUUCUGUGGCGGCGGUUUCCAGGGAGCAGUGGCGGUGUCCAGGGUCCAGUGGCGGCGGUUUCCAGGGAGCAGUGGCGGUGUCUAGGGAGCAGCGGCGGUGUCCAGGGUCUUGUGGCGGUGUCCGGGUACAAGGGUGGCGUGAUUUCUAGGGUCAAGCGGCGGUGUGCAGGGUUGUAUGGAUGGUUUCCAGGGAGCAUCGGUGGUGUCCAGGGUUGCAGACUUGCAGUGGGUUUCCAGAAGAAAAUGGUGGUUUCCAGGAUUGGGUAGUAACAAAGACUAACCAGAGAUUACUGCAAAAUAUUGGAAUUUUUUAUCGAAUUGCCUUUUGUAUGGAUUAAUAUGAUUGCUUUUUACCAAUCCAUUGGCUUAAUACUAGCAUCCAUGUCAUGCUGAAACAUUCUUUUGCAAAUUUGCUGAGUAGAGGUUUUCCUCUGAUCUGGUUUGCUCAUUUUUAUUCGCAAAGAAAAUUAUACAUUACAGCUCUCAUUUCACUACCUGAAUACUGAAACAAAAAAGUUCUUAAUAGCCGAACUUAAAAUUUGGAAUAAAAAAAGUGACCUUCAUAAUGAUUUUUGUCACUGAACACAUCAAAUUAGAUUACAAAAAAAAAUUGCUAACAAUGCAUUUCUCUUUCAAGGUUGAAAAUUAUUCCCCUUAUAAAAUGUUUCUUUGGGUUAUGUCAUCAUUUUGAUUGCAAGCCAUUUUAUUUCAGCUCUUAUAAUAUUUGGAUACAGAUGUACAAAAGAGACAAGGUAUAUAUUUGUGUAAAGAAAUGAGUAGACUUCAAUAAAAAAAAAUUUCGGUUGAGAUUCUAAAAUUAUUUCUAUUCAAAAUAUUUCUUUGAUUCAAAGAAAAGACUUAAAAAAAGAAUUGUACUUCACCAUAAAUGUAAACUUAACGUUUGUGAGUAUUCUUUAUAAGAAUGCAUUGAAGUCGUUUCAUUUAUGAAACAGUGAUUUAUUUGCAAGGAAUUUGAUUCAGAAAAAUAAUUUUAUCUAAAGUUCAAAUAUAUGUAUUUCAUUAGAAUUCACAUUUUUGUAAACCAUAGAAAUUGUAGAUGCCGUGUACAAAUAGGGUUUGAAGCUAUUUUUUUUCGACUAGACAACAUAGAAACAGUAAAUUCCUGCAUUUGAAGUAGUCUUCAAAAAAUUUUCUGUCAAAAAGUUUGAUACACAAAAUACAGGUAUUAUGCAUCUUCAAAAACACAAUGUUAUAAAAUUACUAGUAUAAGAAUGUAUUUAUAAAGUAAAAAAAAAUAAUGGCUUUGGUAAACUGAUGUCAUUGGGGUUACAACCUCUUUUUUCAAUUAGACAAUUAUUGAAGAUAAAAAGCACAUCAAACAGUUGACCUGCCUGCAUUUUCCAUUCAAGAUUUUGCUGAAAUGAUAUCUCCUAUUUAAUUCAGAGGCUCAAAAUAAUGUUUAACAUCUUCAUCUAUUACGUGACCAAUGAUUGCUUUCAUUGAAGUGAAGAUGAAAAGCUAGCAUUCUGAAAAUAUUAAAAUUUUGGAAAUUUGCUUAAAUUCAAUAUUUCCCCCAUUUUUACAAGAACCUUAAAUUGCUUGAAGCAUUGAAACUGAAUAAUUGGCAUUUUAACAAAGUAUAUUUUCUUAUUUUUAGUUCUCACAAUUAUGGCAACUUUAAACAUUUGACAAGGGGGGAAUUCUAUUCAGAUUACCAUAAAAAUUGGAAAAAAAACCUCUUGAAUGUCUCUUGUAGUAAAAAUAAUAUUUUUGGUCACUAAAGCUUGUAGAAACUACAAAGGUUGAGGUGAAUUCUUUUGUAAAUAUUAAUUGAAUUGUAAGGAAAAAUAACUUCUAAGUUCUCAAUGAAAUUUAUUAUAUAAGAAUUAGUCUGAAUUCAAAACAAAAAUUACCCUACCCAUUUUAAAAGGGUAGGGUAUGGAAAAGUUUCUAUUUUUGUAAAGAAAUAAAUACACCAACAAAUUUCAGAAUUGAGAAAGAUGUUAAUUGGUAUAAAAGCCCAUAGAAACAUUUUGUGCUAUGUAGAUGUAAUUAAUACAAAAUUAUGAAGGAAAAAAAAUAUUUUUAGAAGUACCAUUAUUUUGUUAGAAGGUAUGUUAUUCUAAUUGUUCAAUGUGACUGUUUCUAUCUUUCUAGAUGAAAAUAAAGAAUAGAAUCCAGAAAAAUGUCAAAUCUCAAGCUUCAAAUAUGGGAAAAAAUGUUUAAAUCAUUGGAAAAAAAAUUAACUUGAAAUUUAGAUUAUUUUUUUUGUUAUGUAGGGAAAUGCUCUAGUUUCGAGGUGUGAUUUUGAUAUUUUUUAAGUGAACGAUUUUGAAAUGCAAAGAUGUAUUCUAAAUGUAGAUUAAAAUGUGUAACUUAUUUUGUAUCUUAUCAAAAUCAACCAGCCAAAAACUACUUUUUGUUGAGAAAGUGUGAACAUCUAUAUUAUAUGAAAUGUAAUUAAUAUAAAUCAGUUGCCUUAAAUAUUGAAAAUUUUGAAAAGCCAACAAAGCUUAUGUGUAUUGCUACAAGAAUUGGAAGUUUCCCAAUCUUAAGACCAUGUAUAAAGUAAAGUGACAUUGAUUUAUUUGAAUAUGGAAAAAAUAUUUGCCCCUUUCCAUGCCAGAUGGGUACACAUUUUCUUUUUUAAAUAAUAUGUCACAGAUGGUUAGAAAUCUUUAAAUAUCCUUACAUUUGGUUGAAUGGUUUCUGUUUUCAAAACCUGUUCAUGUUACAAUUGUCUUUGAAACAAGUCUUAUACAAGCGAUCUAAUCUUGAUUAGCGAAUCAUCAUAAUGUAAAACGGGUAUCCAAUAAACGUUAGGUGUACCGGUACAUGUAUAUUUAAAAUAAAAAUCUGUUGGAACACAGACUUCAAGAAUGUGAAAAAAAAGAGCUCUGAGUAAAACAAAAUACAUAUUCAAAAAUGAAGUUUAAUAUGAAUUGCAUAGUUAAAAAAGCAAAGAGGAAUUGAAUUUCUAAUUAGAAAUUGUUAAUGAUAUAUUGUUAUUUGCCAUUCAUUAUUCAAAAGUUAAAAUUUGUCACUCAUUCUUCAGUGCAAUUAGAAAAUCCAAUAAUGUCAAUAAUUGUAUUAGACAAAAACAAAUAUUUUAUUGAAUUGCAGAACAAAAUGAUUAAAAACAUUGAGCUCUGAGUAAAAACACAAUACAUAUUUAAAAAUGAAGUUUAAUAUAAAUUGCAUAGUUGAAAAAGUAGAAGUACUUAUUUUGCCAGGUGAUAAAGCAAAGAGGAAUUGAAUUUCUAAUUAGAAAUUGUUCAUGAUAUAUUGUUAUUUGCCAUUCAUUAUCCAAAAGUUAAAAUUUGUCACUCAUUCUGCAGUGCAAUCAGAAAAUCCAAUAAUGUCAAUAAUUGUAUUAGACAAAAACAAAUAUUUUAUUGAAUUGCAGAACAAAAUGAUUAAAAACAUUGAGCUCUGAGUAAAAACGCAAUACAUAUUUAAAAAUGAAGUUUAAUAUAAAUUGCAUAGUUGAAAAAGUAGAAGUACUUAUUUUGCCAGGUGAUAAAGCAAAGAGGAAUUGAAUUUCUAAUUAGAAAUUGUUCAUGAUAUAUUGUUAUUUGCCAUUAAUUAUCCAAAAGUUAAAAUUUGUCACUCAUUCUGCAGUGCAAUCGAAAAAUCCAAUAAUUUCAAUAAUUGUAAUUGACAAAAACAAAUAUUUUUUUGAAUUGCAGAACAAGAAAUGAUUAAAAACAUUUUAACUGAACUGCAUUAAGUACUACUGUACUUAAUCUUGUGUGUGGAAAAGCCAAAUUGGCACUUGGUUAAUUGUCAUUUAUGUCAGUGUUCUUGAUAAUGCCUUAUCUGUUCAAUAGUGAAAUGUCGGAUUUGUGAAAUUUUAUUUUGUUCGGUAUUCACUUGAUUUAUCGUUGGAAAAGAAAAAUUUGUUAGAAGUCCUUAGGACAUUUUACAUUAGAAUUCAGUUUGAUAGAAAUACAAAUAUUGUUAUGCAUCUUCAUUUUGAAAAAAAAACAAUGCUUUAAUAAGGUAAAAAUAUUCUUGGCCUUUUUGGUAAAUUGAUGUGAAAUACCAAUUGAGUUACAAGCAUUUUUUUUUUUCAAGUAUGCAUUUUUUUUUCUUGUAUACAGUUGACCUUCAUUGAUAAUUUUCUGUUCAAGAUGAUACUGAAAUGAUUACUCCUAGUUUAAUGCAGAGACCAAUAAUAUCUAUCUCAAAAAAUGAUAUCUAAAUUGUGAGUAUUCUUUAUAAGAAUUAUAGAAGAUAGUUUUCUAUUUGAAAUGUAUAUUUGACUUUGAAUUCAGAUUUCUUAUUACAUGCCCAAUAAGUUGAAGAUUAAAAGCUAGUAUUUUGGAAAUUUAGUUUAGACAUGUUUUUUCCACCAGUUUUUGUCAUCUAAAGUGACGCGUAAGAAAUUGUGCUAUUUCCUUACAUUUGGUUAAAUGCUUUCUUUUUUUUCAAAACCUGACUUUUAUGAGUUCAUGUUACAUACAAAUUAUUGAAACAAAUUUUAGACAAGUGAUCUAAUUUGAUUAGUGAAUCACUAUAAUGUAAAACAGGUAUCUAGCUAUCGUUAGGUGUACUUUUAUAUUCAAAAUGAAAAUCUGUUGGAAAACAGACGUUCUUCAAGAAUGAAUGAAAAAAUAGCUGUGAGUAAAACAUAUUUAGAAAUAUAAAUUGCAGUUGAACAAGUUGAAAUAUUUAUUUUGCCAGGUGAUAAAGCAAAGAGGAAUUAUAUUUCCAAUUUGAAAUUGUCAUGAUACAUUGUUAUUUGCCGUUCGCUAUUCAAAAGUUAAAAAUUUCUGCAGUGCAAUUGAAAAAUAAAAUCAUUUCAAUAAUUGUAGACAAAAACAUUUUUUGAAUUGCAGAACAAAUGAGUGGAAAAACCAAAUAGGCACUUGGUUGAUUGUCAUUAAUGUCAUUGUUCUUGAUAAUGCCUAAUCUGUUCAAUAGUAAAAUGUCGGAUUCAUGAAAAUCUUAUUCUUUUGUUCGGUAUACACUUGAUUUAUUGUUGAAAAAGGGAACUAAAUUAUAGUAUAUGUCCUUGAGACAUUUUACAUUAGGAUUAAGUUUGAUAGAAAUGCAAAACAUUGUUAUGAAUCUUCAUUUUUAAAAAUGAAUUAUUAAAGUAAAAAAGGAUUGGCCUUUUUGGUAAACUAAUGUCGAUUACAAAUUGGUUACAAGCACCUUUUUUUUCAACUAGGCAAAUUAAAAACCAAUCAUUUUUUCAUGUGUCCAGUUGACCUUCAUAUACAAUUUUCUGUUCCAGGGUCUAUAAAUUAUAUUUAGUAUCUUCAUUUCGAAAAAUACGAAAUAUUUAAAUUGGAGUAUUCUUUAUAAGAAUGUAUUGAUAGUUUUAUAUUUAUAAUGUAUUUUUGACUUACAAUUCAGAUUCAGACUUUUAUAAAGUUCAUGUUACAAAUUGUCUUUGAAACAAAUCUUAUACAAGUGAUCUAAUCUUGAUUAGUGAAUCCUAAUCGUCGGGUGUGCAUAAUAAUGAACAAAAACAAAUAUAUGGAAAAGCCUAAUAGUCACCUGGUUAAUUGUCAUUAAUGUCAAUGUUCUUGAUAAUACCUGACCUGUUCAAUAGAAUAAUGUAAUUUGUUCCAUACACUUGAUUUCAUGUUGGAAAAGAAAAAAAAAUAUUGUUACAAGUCCUUAGGACAUUUUACAUUAUAGUUCCUGAUGCAUUCUUCAAUCCUCUGGACUAUUAGUCCUUGUUAGCAAUAUUGCGACUGUCAAAGUUUACUUUAGUUUUCCUUAUUUUACUGUUUUCUCUAUACUAAAGUAAUUGCCCUAUAGGCAUCCAGUGGACAUAUUUAAAUUUCAUUUGGGAUUUGUUUUUAAGUUUUUAUUCAUGUUGCAACUUGGUCUGUUCAUGUUGAACAUUUUUUUUAAUAGCUACUUGCAUAUUUUUUCUGAUCUGACAUUUAACUCUGUACUACGAUCAGCUUUACUUUUCUCUGUCAAAAUCUUAUUUCUAUUUGAACUUUUGUCAAUUCUUUUUAAAACUAGUUGGCUGUACGCUGCAUCUUGGCGGUUUUUCCUGGCUUUUGUCCCCAAAGUAAGGGUUUUCCCAGGUUUUUUCACUGUCGGGAUGCAGCUAUUUGGCAGUCAAACGGUUCCCCCUUUGUCCCCAUAUUCAACAUUGUUAGUCCCUGAAAUAUUUUUAUUUGAAAAAAAAAAUUGAAAUGAAACUGAAAAAAAAAAUCCUGUUUGUAAUUUUGCUGUAUCGGAAGCCACUUGUGGCAUUACACUUUACAUAAUAAAAGAAAUUAAACAGGAA
rnacentral:lncRNA from 1 species